UGCUCGUGCUUGCACGAACUUGACAUUGGUUUACCAUGGAUGGGAGGACGGCUGAUGAACGGUAUGUAUCCUGCCCCCAAGCGGGGGAUCCCAUUUGGAACCAGAUGCUAAUACCGCAUACCAAUUUGAAUCGCAUGAUUCAAAUUUGCCAGAUGGGUUCGGCUAUCACUUUGGGAUGGACCUGCGGCGCAUUAACUUGUUGGUCUGGUAACGGCCUACCAAGGCUGUGAUGCGUACUCGAAUUGAGACACUGAUCCUACACAAUGGAACUGAGACACGUACCGUACUCCGACGGCAGGCCUGAUGAAGGAAUCUUCCACGAUGGACGCAAGCCUGAUGGAUCAACACCGCUUGAGUGAAGAAGGAUUUCAGCUCGUAAAGCUCUGUUGUUAGAUAAGAACGUGCGUGAAAGCAACUGUUCACGCAUCGACGGCAUCUAACCAGAAAGUCACGGCUAACUACGUGCCAACCGCCGCGGUAAUACGUAGGUGGCAAGCGUUAUCCGGAUUUAUUGGGAUUAAAGCGAGCGCAGGCGGUUUGAUAAAUCUGAUGUGAUAGCCUUUGGCUUAACCAAAGAAGAGCAUCGGAAACUGUCAUACUUGACUGCGGAAAAGGACAGUGGAACUCCAUGUGUAGC
rnacentral:rRNA from 1 species